UCCUGGCCGCACAACAAUGGGUCAAGGAAACUGCUCAGUCAUGUUCAGCUGUAGCUGUUCUUGUUGCUACCAUUGUCUUUGCUGCUGCCUACACUGUACCUGGUGGUUCAAAUGAUAAGGGCAUUCCAAUUUUCCUCCACAAAAACUUUUUCUUGUUUUUCACCAUCAUGGAUGUUAUCGCCUUAGCAAGCUCCUUGACCUCAGUUGUGAUGUUCCUCUCUAUCCUCACUUCUCCUUUUGAUUACGAAGAUUUUCGUAACUCAAUCCCUCGAAAAUUGACUUUGGGAUUCACUUUGCUCUUCUUCUCCGUGAUGGCUACCAUGCUUGCUUUCGCUGCCACCAUUUUGCUCAUCGUUCAAUCAGAGAAACAAUUGACAGCAAGUUUGAUUUCAAUGGCCGCAUUUUUUCCCGUCUCCGUGUUUGCAUUGAUGCAGUUCCGUUUGUUUGCUGCAUUCAUGCGUUCCACGAAGGGCAUCCGUAAGGCAAUGAGUAGGUCCCUCCCUUGGUUUGGUGCCCCUUCACUGUUUCGCAAGAGAAAGCAGCGUCGACAUUUAUUUCAGAAAAAGUAAGUUUCAGAAUCAGAUUAUUACUCUGGAUUUUGAUUUUAAGGUGGGGAUAUUAGUGCCAGUUCAUACCAACAACCAUGUGAGAGAGUAUUAGCAGCUGAUACUCUUUUUCACACGGUCCUACUUAUCAAUCACCUGUUAUAGUCUACCUGCAAUUCCACUGAAUCUCUAGUGGCUGUGCUUACUGAAGAUUCCUUCGUCAACAUCUGACGUGAGGCCAACAACGUGGUCAAUUCACUUGCUAUGCAAGCACUUCUUUUGGUUAAUAAAUUGAAUCUACUGUUCUGUUUUUUUCUGCUACUCCCUUCUGUAGCAUCUGUUCUGCUUAAGCAUCUUUGUGUUUAUUGCUCUGAAAAAAUAAAAUAAAAUGUAAACGAACUUACUAUUUGCUAUUUGGUGCUGGUGUUAAGCAUGUCUACCUAGGUAAACCAGAAUAUUGGUCCAGCAAUAAUUUGUUUGCUCCACAUUCCUGUCUGGAAUCUUACUGCAGGACUUAGUAAUAAUGGAUGAUGAUAAGCUUUAAACUUCAAAGCUAUCUUAAAAACGAACACUUGCAAAGAAAAAGGGCCAAGCCCAGUAGAUUCUCCUGAACUAUUUCUUGAAGAAGUUGCGGAAGUUGGUUCUAGAUUAGGCUUGAUGGGCUUGUUUGGUUUUUGGAAAAAAUAAAAAAUAAAUUAAUUUUAUUUAUGUAAAAAUUUGAAUUUUUUUGCUUUAUAUUAUUUUUAAAUUUUUUUUGAUGUGUAGAUGUCAAAAUAAAUUUCAAACAAUAAAAAAAAUAUUAUUUUAAUAUAUUUUCAAAUAAAAACUAUUUUAAAAAACAACCGUUACCAUAAAAUAUGUUUUGCAUAAACUUAAAAAUAUCUUUUUCAUUCUCUCUCACGUCUCAUUCUCCUCCUUAUACAAGUAAAUAUUUGUAGUUCAUGUUAUAAAAUUUCUUCAAAUUCUUAUUGCUUAUUUAACAAAAGAAAUGCCAUUUUUCUCUCUGGUUUCUCUUUCUUAUUUCUUUCUCAUCCCAAUUUAGUUAGCAUCCAUUUUUCUUUUUCAUAAAAGUUCACUAAUUGGCUAUAAAAAUUAAUAGUUUUGAAUACUGGUUCCCCGAAAUAAAAUAAAAUAAUUUCAUAUUUUCAUUUGAAAAAUAUUGCUAGAUAGCAUUCUUGACCAAAAAAAUAGAACGAAAAGGACUCCUAAGCUAAGGAUAAAUUGAGAAAUUCGAUUCGGAUCCCAUCGAAUUUGUCUCCGAGAAACCGUACCCAAUCUGGGACUGGUGCGAGCUAAAAGGGAUUGAACAUUGAGUCUUAUGCACGUCCAAUUAAUGCUUCAAAGAAACAUGCAGUAGCUAGCUAGCGCUGUUGGUGACUUCCUCGGAGUUUGGAUAUUGAGUCAUCCACAUGCCUAAAAAAAUAAAAGAUAGAAUUGGGUUAGGAGGGUUUGUUUUUGCGUUUUUUUUUAAUUUAAAAUUUAUUAAUUUUGUUGUUUUUCAGAUAUUUUAAUUUUUUAAUUUUAAAAAUAAUUUUUUUUAAAAUAGUAUUAUAGUAUAUUUUUAAUUAAAAAAUACUUUAAAAAACAAUUAAACUUUAAACCUAAAUUAUUGGUUGAAUUGUGGUUCCUUCCCUGGUCCAUUUUUUUAUUCUUUUAAAUCCAGGACUGAAAUAACCGCCGGUCCUUUCCAGGCAUGCUGAAUUUGAAAGCCCAGCCUGCCCCAUAGAUGCUUUCCCAUUUUCAGGCCCAAAAUGUGCAUUUUAGAGUGGGGGGGAUCUGACGCUUGUUUUAGUCCCACUCAUAUUUGGUACAGAAUUCGAUUCUAUCUGUUUCUUUCUUGACUUCCUCUUGCUCCAGAUGGUCGUUUUACACGUUGUGCUUUACUCCUGCCAAUGGUUGAAUAGCCACGGUGAGGAAUGGACAUGGAAAGAAGAGCAUAAUCUCCAUGGGAUACAAAACAUAAUUAACAAGCAAAGCAUCACAAUCGUCUUUAAAUGAUCGUGUUCAUCACAUUAUCUAGCAGGAAUAAAUAAAGGAAAGAGGAAGAUCUGAUGAUGAUUUGGAGCUUACAUCAUAAGAUAUAGAGCAUUGCUUAACAUAACAAUCCUAACUUUUAACUGAAGAUUUUAAUGGUGUUGUAGCUCUACAAGCUAAGCAUGCGAAGUGCAGAUGCCCUUCUUUUGUUCUUUAUUUAUUAAGUGCGUUGGGACACCGUUUUUACUUGGCUUUAAAGGAGACCAUUCUAUUUUUUCUGAAAUUCGGUGUCAUUCAAUAGCAUAAACUAGCAAAACGGUUUGUCUGCGCUGGCUCUUGUUCCCUUGCCAUUUGUUGGUUAAUUAUUCAUUUAUUCUAUGAAUUUGAUGUUAGGAUAUUUGAAUUUUCCCACACUGAAUUUGUAACUUCCGAGUCAGUGCAUAGAUGUAAUUCACUGGAAUACCUGUAGAAUAUCUAUGCAUUGUUAGGUGCUUUUUUUCCUUUUUUUUUUUGGAUUAAUUAAUAUGGUUUCAUAACUGUUUCCUCUGGUAAGAAUUCAAGCAGAAAACCAAUUCGACAGAGAGAGCAAGAUGGGAACUCCAUCAGAAAUGAAGCCAGCCUACAUCGCAACCUUGGAGGAAGACUGGAAGAGCCUGGCUGAAUUCUAUGAGAAACAUAAAGAUCGCCUGUUGACUCCAAUGUCAUUCACCGAAGAUACUGCAUUUCAUAUGGCUGUCUACAGUAAAGAUGAGAAAUUGCUCAAGUGUCUUCUUGAUUACGCACAGGAUGUGCCUACGUCCCAGGAUCAUAAACAUCCCAUUAGUAUUACAAAUGUUUAUGGACACACACCACUUCAUUUAGCAGCCAGCAGAGGAAACUCUGAGGCAGUAAAGCUCUUGGUGGAGGAAUCAAAGAAAAUCCUUGUGGGAGAAUCAGAAAAUGAGAAACAGAUAUAAUGUUGAUGAAAAACAAGCAAGGCGAGACCCCAUUGUUUAGAGCUGCUGCGUUUGGUCAGACUGAAAUAGUCAAGUAUUUGGCUCGUCAACCUGCACACAUAGUCAAUGAUGAGCUUUUAUUAGUUCAUCGCCAAAGGAAUGAUGGACAAUCUAUUCUUCAUGUUGCAGUCGUAGGGGAGAAUUUUGGUCUCCUCUCUUCUCUGUUUCAAAUUAAAUGCUGAGAUAUAUUCAUGCUAAAAAUCACAAAAAAUAAUAAAAAUAAUUUUGCUUUUCAUUGCAGAAACUGCUGUGCUGCUGUUAAAACUUGAUAAAUCACUUAGCAAGUUGACAGACAGCGGGGGGAAAACUUGUCUUGGUUUAUUGACCGAGAUACCUUCUGCUUUCAAGAGUGGACACUCUAUGAGUAUAUUCAGCCAAUUCCUUUACAUGUGUAUGCUCUAAACUAAAUGCCUGCUUGUUUUAAUUUUUUAGAAAAACAUGAAUCUAAUGCUUUUAGGGGUUAUUUGCUGUUAGAUAAUAUUAUUGGACAUUUAUUUAACAGUAUAUUUUUCCUGGAAGCAAGGUGUUUUACCUGAAUUUCUUUUAAUGUUAAAAUUCCAGGCUGUCACCAGUGUCAUCGAUAUUUUAAAACUCCAAAUUUUUCUUCUUAUUUUAAACCUUGUGAAGAUUUGAUUGACUUGCAUGCGAGUAUUUUAAAGGUCUUCCGGCUGAAGAUCAGUGUGAUGGGGCCAUCAAUGAAGAUACAUCAAGAGUUUGGGAAGCUAUGGAGAGUGGCCAAAGGAGGAAUAUGAAUAGUCGAUUUAGCUACCAUGUCCACGGAGGUACAGGAAAAGCAAACCUAGUUUAACCUCUUAUGGACUAUCUAAUGAUUGAAGAAUUUAAGCUACAGUAACAUUAUUGGUAGAAUGAAGUCUUCCCUAAGAAAUGCAACUGGGAAGAAUAUAACUAAUCAGAAUAUAUCUAGUCUGGUAUUUCAUUCCUUCGUAUAUUUGACUACUAUUGGCUGUUCAUUUGCAGUGUUAGAAUGGAUCAACGGAUCAAUCUGCAGAUUCUCCUUCAAAGGUAUUUCUCCCCACCUGAAAUGCCAACCAAACUCAAAAUGCUGAUCACCUCUCAUCUUUCUCUCUUGUCUAAUGAAUAGGGUGGCCGAUGGUGGAAAGAAUCUGGGAAAAUAAGAGGAAGCAUAAAUCUGCCUUGCGACUGGCAAAAAUGCUAAUAAAGAGUGAUGUUUCGUGGGAUCAAGAUAUUGCUGUACAGGGCCAGUAUGGAGCGAGCACUGGAUCCCCUUUCUUUGGUCCUUCGCAUCCUUUGCUUACAGGAACAAAAACAGGAAUACUAGAGGUUGUUUCUGAAAUGCUCAUAGAGCAGCCUCAUUUUCUUGAUCUUCUUGACGAAGAAGGGAAGAACAUAUUGCAUGUAGCUAUAAAGUACAGACGCAAGGAUAUUUUCCAUCUUAUAAAGAGUAACCGGAUAAUAUCGAACAGGAUGAGCUAUGGAAUUGACAAAGAUGGCUACACAUUGUUGCAUCAAGUAGCAGACAACAAGUAUUACUCUGUAGGUAGCAAGCAUGGUCCUGCACUACAAUUACACGAAGAGUCAAAAUGGUUCACAGUAAGGCCCUUUCGUACCAGUAUCUUUAGAUCAUUGUAUCAGAAAAAGUUUAUAUUAUUUUAACCUACCAAGAUAAAUUGGAAUCAUCCUGGGUGAUUUAGAAUUGAAUCCCAAUUUCGUAUAACUUUUCAUUUUGAGGAGUUUGCUGUCAUGUUCUCCUUUUGUAUGCAGCGUGUCGAGAAGCUCAUCCCUUCUUAUUAUGCCAAGCUCCGCGACUCUAAGCAAAAAACUGCAGAGGAGCUCUUCAAUGAUAUGCACAAAGAACAACUCCUGGCCGCACAGCAAUGGGCCAAGGAAACUUCUCAGUCAUGCUCAGCUGUAGCUGUUCUUGUUGCCACCAUUGUCUUUGCUGCUGCCUACACUGUACCUGGUGGUUCAAAUGAUAAGGGCAUUCCAAUUUUCCUCCACAAAAACUUUUUCUUGUUUUUCACCAUCAUGGAUGUUAUCGCCUUAGCAAGCUCCUUGAC
rnacentral:lncRNA from 1 species